rnacentral:misc_RNA from 1 species
GCCAAGAAUGCUGUUCUCACAUCUUUUGCAUCAGGACGUCCGACCUCACUAGUUGUUGAUAGUGGUGGAGGAUCAACUACAGUUGCUCCNUGUGCAUGAUGGUUAUGUCCUCCAAAAGGCAGUGGCUUCUUCUCCAGUAGGAGGAGAAUUUCUUACUGAUUGCUUGGUGAAAAGCUUGGAGAGUAAAGGUAUCACAAUAAAGCCCAGGUACUCUUUCAAGAGAAAGGAAAUCAGGCCAGGCGAGUUUCAGAUAGUGGAUCUUGAUUUUCCAAAUACAACUGAAAGCUACAGAUUUUACUCACAGAGGGUCAUUGCAGGUGAUAUCAAGGAAUGUGUGUGUCGAGCCCCGGACACACCCUAUGAUGAAAGUGCAUAUUCAAAUAUUCCAAUGACUCCAUAUGAGCUUCCUGAUGGCCAGACAAUUGAAAUAGGAGC